rnacentral:lncRNA from 1 species
CCCAACCAAAGGAGCCACCACAUCUUGGAUUCUGAAUCUCCAGAACUUGUGUGGAAAUCUGUGUCCGUACGCUACACAUGUCCUACAAAAGCUCCGUUCCACGUGUGUGAAGCGUGUUCACUACAGCUGGCAACGUUAGAGCGCCUGCCUGGUGCCCCCGAGGGUUGUGUGUCCGGAGAAUGAAGUAACCCUGAAGUUGCUUCGAGUCAGGAUGUGGCCCUGGGUGGGCCCUCUUCAGCUUCUCAGGGAAAGAGGAGAAGAUCUCCCUGUGAGACCUUCCGGAUCAGGCCAUGAGGGCUGCUGUGAGAAGAUGCCAUAGGCCGAGUGACACUAUUGUCGGACUGUUCCGAAGGCUGGAGCCUUAGAUGGAGG